rnacentral:misc_RNA from 1 species
GAAAUGCGAUACGCAAUGCGAAUUGCAGAAUUCCGCGAGUCAUCAGAUCUUUGAACGCAACUGGCGCUAGAGGGAUAUCCUUCUAGCAUGCUUGUUUCAGUGUCUAGAAACAUCAUAUAACUUAAUGUGAUUGAUGAUGUUAUGUUUUCAUAACAUAAACAUUAUCUCUCAUGAAAUAUGUAAAUGUGGAUCUUUUGAUCCAACGAAGUAGUCACAUUCUCAUAUGUGAUUUCGUUUGGUUUAUCAAAUUAUCCGUAAACAUCUAUAAAAACAAUAUAAAAACUUCUUCAAUAUGCAUCUGAAAUCAAGCAAGAUUACCCGCUGAACUUAA